rnacentral:rRNA from 1 species
AGAGUUUGAUCCUGGCUCAGAUUGAACGCUGGCGGCAGGCCUAACACAUGCAAGUCGAGCGGAAACGAUGGAAGCUUGCUUCCAGGCGUCGAGCGGCGGACGGGUGAGUAAUGCAUAGGAAUCUGCCCGGUAGUGGGGGAUAACCUGGGGAAACCCAGGCUAAUACCGCAUACGUCCUACGGGAGAAAGCAGGGGAUCUUCGGACCUUGCGCUAUCGGAUGAGCCUAUGUCGGAUUAGCUGGUUGGUGAGGUAACGGCUCACCAAGGCGACGAUCCGUAGCUGGUCUGAGAGGAUGAUCAGCCACAUCGGGACUGAGACACGGCCCGAACUCCUACGGGAGGCAGCAGUGGGGAAUAUUGGACAAUGGGCGAAAGCCUGAUCCAGCCAUGCCGCGUGUGUGAAGAAGGCUUUCGGGUUGUAAAGCACUUUCAGUGGGGAAGAAAUCCUCGGGGCCAAUACCCUCGAGGGAGGACAUCACCCACAGAAGAAGCACCGGCUAACUCCGUGCCAGCAGCCGCGGUAAUACGGAGGGUGCGAGCGUUAAUCGGAAUUACUGGGCGUAAAGCGCGCGUAGGCGGCGUGAUAAGCCGGUUGUGAAAGCCCCGGGCUCAACCUGGGAACGGCAUCCGGAACUGUCAGGCUAGAGUGCAGGAGAGGAAGGUAGAAUUCCCGGUGUAGCGGUGAAAUGCGUAGAGAUCGGGAGGAAUACCAGUGGCGAAGGCGGCCUUCUGGACUGACACUGACGCUGAGGUGCGAAAGCGUGGGUAGCAAACAGGAUUAGAUACCCUGGUAGUCCACGCCGUAAACGAUGUCGACUAGCCGUUGGGGUCCUUGUGACCUUUGUGGCGCAGUUAACGCGAUAAGUCGACCGCCUGGGGAGUACGGCCGCAAGGUUAAAACUCAAAUGAAUUGACGGGGGCCCGCACAAGCGGUGGAGCAUGUGGUUUAAUUCGAUGCAACGCGAAGAACCUUACCUACUCUUGACAUCGUGCGAACUUGGUAGAGAUACCUUGGUGCCUUCGGGAACGCACAGACAGGUGCUGCAUGGCCGUCGUCAGCUCGUGUUGUGAAAUGUUGGGUUAAGUCCCGUAACGAGCGCAACCCUUGUCCCUAUUUGCCAGCGAUUCGGUCGGGAACUCUAGGGAGACUGCCGGUGACAAACCGGAGGAAGGUGGGGACGACGUCAGGUCAUCAUGGCCCUUACGAGUAGGGCUACACACGUGCUACAAUGGCCGGUACAAAGGGUUGCGAAGCCGCGAGGUGGAGCUAAUCCCGAAAAGCCGGUCUCAGUCCGGAUCGGAGUCUGCAACUCGACUCCGUGAAGUCGGAAUCGCUAGUAAUCGUGAAUCAGAAUGUCACGGUGAAUACGUUCCCGGGCCUUGUACACACCGCCCGUCACACCAUGGGAGUGGACUGCACCAGAAGUGGUUAGCCUAACUUCGGAGGGCGAUCACCACGGUGUGGUUCAUGACUGGGGUGAAGUCGUAACAAGGUAGCCGUAGGGGAACCUGCGGCUGGAUCACCUCCUU